AGGGCACCACCAGGAGUGGAGCCUGCGGCUUAAUUUGACUCAACACGGGGAAACUCACCCGGCCCGGACACCGUAAGGAUUGACAGAUUGAUAGCUUUUUCAUGAUUCGGUGGAUGGUGGUGCAUGGCCGUUCUUAGUUCGUGGAGCGAUUUGUCUGGUUUAUUCCGAUAACGAGCGAGACUCUAGCCUACUAGAUAGUUCGCACAUUGUCUCUGUGUGUGUGACUUCUUAGAGGGAUUUUCGGUGUUCAGCCGCACGAAAUUGAGCAAUUUUUUUGUCUGUGAUGCCCUUAGACGUCCGGGGCUGCACGCGCGCUACACUGGCAAAAUCAGCGUGCUUGUCCUUCCCCGAAAGGGGUUGGUAAACCCUUGAAAAUUUGCCGUGAUUGGGAUUGGAAAUUGCAAUUAUUUUCCAUGAACGAGGAAUUCCAAGUAAGUGCGAGUCAUCAGCUCGCGUUGAUUACGUCCCUGCCCUUUGUACACACCGCCCGUCGCUGCCCGGGACUGAGCCAUUUCGAGA
rnacentral:rRNA from 1 species